rnacentral:rRNA from 1 species
GAUGAAUGCUGGCGGCGCGCCUAACACAUGCAAGUCGAGCGGAAAGGCCCUUCGGGGUACUCGAGCGGCGGACGGCUGAGUAACGCGUGGGAACAUGCCCCAAAGUGAGGAAUAACUGCCCGAAAGGGUAGCUAAUGCCGCAUAUGAUCUUCGGAUUAAAGGAUUUAUCCGCUUUGGGAGUGGCCCGCGUACGAUUAGGUAGUUGGUGAGGUAAAGGCUCACCAAGCCUACGAUCGUUAACUGGUCUGAGAGGAUGAUCAGUCAGACUGGAACUGAGACACGGUCCAGACUCCUACGGGAGGCAGCAGUGAGGAAUCUUCCACAAUGGGCGAAAGCCUGAUGGAGCGACGCCGCGUGCAGGAUGAAGGCCUUCGGGUUGUAAACUGCUUUUAUAAGUGAAGAAUAUGACGGUAACUUAUGAAUAAGCACCGGCUAACUACGUGCCAGCAGCCGCAGUA